AGAGUUUGAUCCUGGCUCAGAACGAACGCUGGCGGCGUGCUUAACACAUGCAAGUCGAACGCGAAAGAUUUCUUCGGAGAUCGAGUAGAGUGGCGCACGGGUGAGUAACGCGUAAGUUAUCUACCUCGGCAUCUGGAAUAACGCACCGAAAGGUGAGCUAAUACCGGAUACGUUGAGUAAUCAAGAAAGGUGGCCUCUGCAUAUGCUACCGUGCUGAGAUGAGCUUGCGUACCAUUAGCUAGUUGGUAGGGUAAUGGCCUACCAAGGCAACGAUGGUUAGCGGGUCUGAGAGGAUGAUCCGCCACACUGGAACUGGAACACGGACCAGACUCCUACGGGAGGCAGCAGUGAGGAAUAUUGCGCAAUGGGGGCAACCCUGACGCAGCGACGCCGCGUGGAUGAUGAAGGCCUUCGGGUCGUAAAAUCCUGUCAGGUGGAAAGAAAUGCAUGGUGGCUAAUAUCCAUCAUGUUUGACGGUACCACCGAAGGAAGCACCGGCUAACUCCGUGCCAGCAGCCGCGGUAAUACGGAGGGUGCAAGCGUUGUUCGGAAUUACUGGGCGUAAAGCGCGCGCAGGCGGUCUGUUAAGUCAGAUGUGAAAGCCCAUGGCUCAACCAUGGACGUGCAUUUGAAACUGGCAGGCUUGAGUAGUGGAGGGGGUGGUGGAAUUCCCGGUGUAGAGGUGAAAUUCGUAGAUAUCGGGAGGAAUACCGGUGGCGAAGGCGACCACCUGGCCACAUACUGACGCUGAGGCGCGAAAGCGUGGGGAGCAAACAGGAUUAGAUACCCUGGUAGUCCACGCCGUAAACGAU
rnacentral:rRNA from 1 species